rnacentral:rRNA from 1 species
GAUGAACGCUGGCGGCGUGCCUAAUACAUGCAAGUCGAGCGAACAGACGAUGAGCUUGCUCCUCUGACGUUAGCGGCGGACGGGUGGGUAACACGUGGAUAACCUACCUAUAAGACUGGGAUAACUUCGGGAAACCGGAGCUAAUACCGGAUAAUAUAUUGAACCGCAUGGUUCAAUAGUGAAAGACGGUUUUGCUGUCACUUAUAGAUGGAUCCGCGCCGCAUUAGCUAGUUGGUAAGGUAACGGCUUACCAAGGCAACGAUGCGUAGCCGACCUGAGAGGGUGAUCGGCCACACUGGAACUGAGACACGGUCCAGACUCCUACGGGAGGCAGCAGUAGGGAAUCUUCCGCAAUGGGCGAAAGCCUGACGGAGCAACGCCGCGUGAGUGAUGAAGGUCUUCGGAUCGUAAAACUCUUUUAUUAGGGAAGAACAAAUGUGUAAGUAACUAUGCACGUCUUGACGGUACCUAAUCAGAAAGCCACGGCUAACUACGUG